rnacentral:rRNA from 1 species
AGAAUGAACGCUGGCGGCGUGGUUAAGACAUGCAAGUCGAACGGUUUUCAUUGGAGGGCAACCGGAUAUGAAAGCAGUGGCGAACGGGUGCGUAACACGUGAACAAUCUACCUCCAAGUGGGGAAUAGCUCGCCGAAAGGCGAAUUAAUACCGCAUGUGGUGGUCUCUCGCCUGAGAGACUUACUAAAAUCGAGGGACCGCAAGGCCUGAUGCUAGGAGAGGA